CCUCUAUUAUUUACCUGCACUAUGAUUGAGCUGAUUCAGUUUACUUUGAUGCUUUCUAAUCUUUUUUUACAUGGUAAGGUGUGUAUGACUCUCUGGAGUGGAAGGACUCGAGUUCCACACCAAAUCCUUCGUCUAACAGAGGAGUUAUUUUCAUUUUGGAUAAGUGCUCAAUCUCACUCAAGCGUUUAACAGAGUAUCUUUGGAUUCUUCUAGCAUUAAAGAGUCCAUUCCAGGAGAUUUAAAUAUAAUGUAGAUACAUGAGUUGUUAAUCGUCAAGAACUGUUAGCUAUAGUGCUAUUCUUAAAUAUAAUUCUGGGUCUUGUACAGCAGCUUUUUCAGGUUUUGUGCAAAGUAGUGUUCAAUCUAAAAUGUUUGAAAGCCUUGCUCUUCGUGAAUCCCUCUUAUGGCUCGUUGCACAGGUAUGGUGGAUAUUGAGCUUGAUUCAAAAUGCGUGGUUGACACUGUUAUAUCCCAAAGAGAUGAGUUUUAGAUUUUGGCCAAUUUAUUCAUUGUUGUAAGCAUAUGUUGAGCCAAAAGCCUGGUUGGACCUUGUCUUGGUUAGAGACAAGCU
rnacentral:lncRNA from 1 species